UGGGAUUAAGAUUAAAAAAAGGUCUGUGC
rnacentral:piRNA from 1 species